GUUGUGGAUAUGUUCGCUGGUUCAGAACAAGUUCAAUAAGGUACCUCACUUGUUUUUUCAAUGAACUAAUAGACAAGAUUUUAACUUUUUUUUCCUUUUUUUUAAUAUAUAUUUUUGGUCUUUAAAUAGUCUAAUCUACGCUAUCAAUGUAUUGUAUUGUUUUGUUGAUUUCAGGUUUUGAAUUUUGCGGUGCUUUUGAAGGUUUUGGGAUUUGGGUUUUGUGAAUAGAGUUAAUUUGUUGCUUCUUGCUUACUCGAGAGUAUAUAAUAGUGAAAAUGACUUGAUUAUCUGGAUUUUGGAUGUUUGAAACCAAGGUUACGAGAAAGUUUAGUCCGUAGUUUCAUGAAGAAUUGAAUAAGAAGAAAUAUUCCUUUCUGUAAGCGUAUUAGAAAGAAAGAAUUUAGCCUACAGUUUAUUGCUCAUUGAAAUGCUGGCAGCAGAUUUAUGAAAAAUCUGUCUGCUUUUUGUCUUUAUCUUGCUUCCUUGAAUGGAAUUUAUCUGGUGAUAAUGCCUAUGAGAAUUUUAGCCCACUUGGCCAAUAACGAUUUUGACUAAUUUGAGGAUGGGCGAAUUUCUCUUGUGAAUUGGCCUUAUGGCCGGUUGGAACUCAAUAUCAGGGGAAACGAUGUUCCCUGCUCGGAGGAUUUUCAGUUCAUACAAUUACGUUCUUAUGUGAGAGUCGGUUGUCACUUUCUGACAUUUGCCCCUUGAUACAAUAUUUACAAUUCAAAGAAGAUAAAGUGAGAAAAAGAAUGUGACAAGUUUUUGAAUUCUUGAAGUCAUGUUCUACACUCUCUAAUUUCCUCCAUAAGUUCUUUGAUUUCAUUGCAAUUUGCAACAUCUUUUGCUCACUGAAUGUUGGACUUUUUUUAUGUUUUUAGUGUACCUUAUUUCAGUUCCAUCGAUGUUCGUUCUUGCCUUGUCUUUGGGAACUUGUAGAAUCAAUUUUCGUUCUUUCGCUUAUUCGUUGCUUCAUGUUCUUUAUUUCUUUAUGUGAUUUCCAGGUUUUUGAACAUUCCCAUACACAAAUAGGCGGAUACAAAGACACACUUUUAUAGGCACAUACAUACCCAAUGCUUAAAUUUACUUCUCUUCUUGGUUAAGACAUUUUGAGUUUCGAUUCCAAACUUUUCAAAAUUCUGCAUCCUUUAAGGGGCUAAAUCGAUCUCUGAACGCUAGAAAGAGUUCGCAAUAGCUUUAUCAGUUAUCUUGUUUAUUUCGCUCAAUCUUACUUUAUAUUGACAUUACAUGCCAAGAUGGUUCUUCAGAAAUUAAGUAAAGGAACAAUUUCAUUUGAAGGCCUUAUACAUACAAUAGUUGAGUGGGGUUUAUGUUUUUUGAGUUGCUUUUUAAGUUUUACGGUUUUACCUACAUGUACAUUUAAUAUGAAGUUCGUUUGCCUUGUAUCUGUUUGCAUUUUUAUCUGCUUAUAAUCUUGGCUGUUCUAUUUUAUAUAAAGGGAUAAGUAAAAGCACUGUUGGCGGUUGAAGUUAAAUUUUGAGCUGAUGAUGCUUGAAAUAUGGUUGAGACUUAUAUUAUUUUGCGGAAUUUUCUCCAAUGCUN
rnacentral:lncRNA from 1 species